GAGUUUGAUCUUGGCUCAGGAUGAACGCUAGCGGCAGGCUUAACACAUGCAAGUCGAGGGGUAGAGUAGCAAUACUUGAGACCGGCGCACGGGUGCGUAACGCGUAUGCAACCUACCUUUUACAGAGGGAUAGCCCAGAGAAAUUUGGAUUAAUACCUCAUAGUAUAUGUCUUUCGCAUGUUAGACAUAUUAAAGUUCCAACGGUAAAAGAUGGGCAUGCGUCCUAUUAGCUAGAUGGUAAGGUAACGGCUUACCAUGGCAACGAUAGGUAGGGGUCCUGAGAGGGAGAUCCCCCACACUGGUACUGAGACACGGACCAGACUCCUACGGGAGGCAGCAGUGAGGAAUAUUGGUCAAUGGGCGCAAGCCUGAACCAGCCAUGCCGCGUGCAGGAUGACGGUCCUAUGGAUUGUAAACUGCUUUUAUAACAGGAAGAAACACCCCUUCGUGAAGGGACUUGACGGUACUGUAGGAAUAAGGAUCGGCUAACUCCGUGCCAGCCGCCGCCGUAAG
rnacentral:rRNA from 1 species